UACUUUAUAUCAAAUAAUACAUUUCAUGCAUAGUAACAUUUGAUCUUAUAAUUACAUGUUUCGGAAUAAUGAGCUUCAUAUCUAUCAUUUCAAGUACAAUUUUUGUUUUUGGAAAUGAAAUUCCAAGUGAUUAGAAAAUAAAACAAGCUCAAAAAUGUAUGGAAACGAUGCAUGACGUUCCAAGAUAUUAAUUCCUAAAAUUUAAAGCACACCCUUAAGCAAAUAUCCAGAUUGGCUCCAUAAGUAGAAAAAUAAUUUAAGAGAUUAACAAAAACUUGUACUGCUAAUUGUAGAAGUGCCUGUACACACAACCAUAAAAGUAAAUUUCUUACUCCAACUUAAACUGGUAUUUUAAAAUUGACAUGUACGCCUUUCUUGGAGAAAUAUAAAAAGAGAGGUUAAAAGCUGCUAAAAAAUAGUAAUGUUUCUUUUUUCGAAAUCGCGCAGUAAUGUGCUUUUUCUAUGUUCAAAAAUCGGCACAGAAAUUAAAUGCGGUGUUGUCAUAUUAGUAUUAUCUACCUCCACAAUUACAUUUUACAAGGUUAUAAAUUGUUUUUCGGUUUAGCAGUAAUUCUAUACUCUUUGAUAACCCUUUUUAUUAGUUAUUAGAAACACAUCCGGUUUAUUAAUUUUAUAAAUAUAAUUUAUUAACUAAAUUUGCGCGUAAUCUCGCAACGUCGCAACCUUGCAUGGCAACAGCGGAUUUCUUGAAGUGCAGCGACAUUCUAUGGCAGCGAACAAUGUGUAUCCACAUAACCUGUAAUAAGUUUUUGUUCGGUGCAGAAACAACCAUGGAAAACAUUAUAUGGAGAAUAUCUCAUUUUGCAUACGAGUAUUUCUCUGAAAAAGAAAAUUCUGUGAAAUCAACAUUUUGGGCUACAUAGUCGUUGUUAAAGUCAACUCUGUUAAUAUAAAACAGCGUAGAUAUAAUCUAAGUACACCAAGUUGUCAAGCAAAAAAUAUAGGUUAUGUUUCCCAGAAACCAAAUAUAUUUACAAGAGAAAACUUACGAAAAUUUUUAACAGAGGCCCGUGAUUAAUGUACCUAAUGUCAAAGGUAUAUUUUUUAUUCGAAGUUGUAGGAGUAUGCGGAAAGGAAGAAUUUGAACAAUUUUCUUGUAUCUACAUAACCUAUAAUAAGCUUUUAUUAUUAUUACAGAACAGAUUAUUAGCUUACAUGCCCAUUUUAAAUGAAAGUAUGAAGCAUACCUCUUAUUUUUCGGCACUUUUAAUAUUUUUGCUUGCAGAAAGAUCUGCAGCAAUUGCAAAAUAGAGAUGGAUAGCAAUAAUAACAAGCAGUUUACAUGCAUUCGACCGAACUUGCAAAAACUGGCAGAUAAUAUAUCAAAUUUAUUACCUAAAAACUCAGCCACAGUUUAUGAAAAGCGGUUUAUUUUUUAUUAGAAGUUGUAGGAGCAUGUGGAAUGGAUAAAUUGAAAAAUAAUGACGGCAUUCAAGACAAAAACGAUACGCUAAUAAUUAAAAUUCCAACGUCUAAAACUGGCAAAGCACGAGAAUUUACAAAUAUGUGUAAAAAUAUUUAUCCAAUUGAAAUAUAGUAAAAAUACCUAAUUUUAAGACCGCACCAUACACCAGACAAAUCAUUAUUUAUACAUUACAUUUGGAUAGUGAAUGCAGCAGCUGCUGCAUUGUACAAAUAUACCUGCAAACACACUGUAACAAAUUAUGCAGACACCUCUUUUGACUAAAAGAUAUAUAUUUAACUUUAUCCAUACGUUGUCAACUUUGUUAAUAAUUGCAAUCUCUAACUUCAUAAGAAAUAUGAAUAAUCUACUUUGGUGUUUUAUAAUAGUAUUAAAUGUUCAUAGAAUAUAAUUGCACUUACUACGAAGUAAGCUUUCCUAGUUUUAAGUUGUUUUCUUUUCUCUUUGAUUAUCUUAAUUUCUUCAGCCUCUAUGUGGCUGUUUUAAUUCCAAAAAAUUGUUUCUGAAUAAACUGAUUCAUACCA